GAGAGAGAGAGAGAGAGAGAGAGAGAGAGAGAGAGAGAGAUAGAUGCUUUUCAUUAAGCCAAAGACAUUUCAGUCCAAUCUAUACCUUGCUCUCUAGAUAGAAAAGACAGUAUGGAUUCCAAGGCAAAUUGAUAAUACUACAAUUACUGAGACUGUGGGUCUGAA